ACCGCGCGGUGGUUGGGCAACAUGAGAUUUCCCUAAUUACAUUUGUAAUUGAUCUUAACACUCCCCCUAAUCUAUGCGUGACUGUGACACCCUCGAUUUAAUCGUACGCUAAUCAUACACGCAAAUGCAUACGAUCAAACUCAAGGACUCACUGGAAGAUAUCACAACACAACUCUAGACACAAAUAAAACAAAACAAGCUUCAUAUUACAAGCUAGGGGCCUCGAGGACUAGAAAACAGAAGCUCGAUAAACACACGAGUCAGCGGAAGCAACAAAUAUCUGAGUACAGACAUUAAACAUGGGGUGCCUUAGAGAAGGCUAGCAUAAAAGAUACAACGAUCGAAUGAGGAGAGGCCUCCUACCUGGGAACCUCCUAACUACUCCUGAUCUUCAGCGGCCUCCACGUAGUAGUAGGCACCGUCGGGGUAGCAGUCAUCGUCGGCGGGAUACUCCAUCUCCUCGGCUCCAACAUCCGGUCGCAGCAAUGGAUCAAGGGGACAAAGGGGGAGCAAAGCAACGGUGAAUACUCAUCCAAAGUACUCGCAAGACUUAUAUCAGAACUAUGUUAAGUAUGCAUCAGCAUCAAAUAAGGGAUUGGUUAUAUGUGGACUGACUGCAGCAAUGUGAGAAUGAGAGGGAAGGCCUAGUCCUAUCAAAGACUAGCAUCUUCAGGGGGUCUUGCAGCAAUAGACGAGAGUAGAGCAGGGUAACACAAUUAAUAGUCAUAUUGUUGC
rnacentral:lncRNA from 1 species